UUCAUUAUCAUCAUCAUCAUCACCAGGAGCAGAAGAAGAAGAGGCAGCCCGCGCUAAACUGAACUGACUCCAAACAACUUCUACCGCUUUUUUAUGGUCACUUUAAUGGGACGUAGGCAGCAGAAACGUGUGUUUUGGCAUAAAUACCUCCAAACUGAAGGAUCCAGUUGAAGCCCGAAGAGAGAGAGCAGACCAUCAUGCUCCAUGAAGGGUCGACCCUGAACGCCGUCCAUGGUCCGCCUGAAAAAAACCCACACACCGCUCCAUCAGUUUCUACUCACCUACUCCCUGACUGUAGACGAUUCUUCCUGCUGUCGUGUUCCAGUGUUCCUGUUGCAAUAAAAAAGAACUG